GAUUCCCUUAGUAACUGCGAGUGAAGAGGGAAAAGCUCAAAUUUAGAAUCUGGCAGCAUUUUGCUGUCCGAGUUGUAACCUAGAGAAGUGUAACCUGUGCUGGACCGUGUAUAAGUUUCCUGGAAUGGAGCAUCACAGAGGGUGAGAAUCCCGUCUUUGACAUGGACUACCAGUGCAUUGUGGUUGUGCUCUCAACGAGUCGAGUUGUUUGGGAAUGCAGCUCUAAAUGGGUGGUAAAUUCCAUCUAAAGCUAAAUAUUGGCGAGAGACCGAUAGCGAACAAGUACCGUGAGGGAAAGAUGAAAAGAACUUUGGAAAGAGAGUUAAACAGUAUGUGAAAUUGUUGAAAGGGAAACGUUUGAAGUCAGUCGCGUUAGCUGGGGAUCAGCCUGACAUUGUUGGGUGCACUUCCUGGUUGACGGGCCAACAUCAGUUUUGACUGCCAGAAAAAGGCCAAGGGAAUGUGGCACCUUUGGGUGUGUUAUAGCCUUUGGUCAUAUAUGGUGGUUGGGACUGAGGAACGCAGUGUGCCGAAAGGCCGGGUUUCGACCACGUUCACACUGAGGAUGUUGGCAUAAUGGCUUUAAGCGACCCGUCUUGAAACACGGACCAAGGAGUCUAACAUGCAUGCGAGUGUUUGGGUGGAAAACCCUUACGCGUAAUGAAAGUGAAAGUUGAGAUCCCUGUCGUGGGGAGCAUCGAC
rnacentral:rRNA from 1 species